CCUUAUCACUUUUCCAGCCAGCUUCGUGAUGCUCAGUGUUGGACGGAGAACUGAUAAGGGU
rnacentral:pre_miRNA from 1 species